GCCAGACUGUCCUCUCUGGGCAGCCAGGUUUGUCUGUGACGACCGGUCUCUAUAGCCAGACUGUCCUCUCUGGACAGCCAGGUUUGUCUGUGACGACCGGUCUCUAUAGCCAGACUGUCCUCUCUGGACAGCCAGGUUUGUCUGUGACGACCGGUCUCUAUAGCCAGACUGUCCUCUCUGGACAGCCAGGUUUGUCUGUGAUGACCGGUCUCUAUAGCC